AUAAUGGAAGAGAUGAAGAGCCAACAUGCAAACACACACGGGCACACGCACAAUGAUUAUAAUGUUAUAAAAUGCUAUAAAAUAAAGAUGGUGAGUGAUAAAGUGAGGUAUGUGUGUAAAGGGGAGAGUUCUUUCAGAUAAGAUGUCUAGGCAAAUACCUCUUUAAAGAAGCUAUGUUUACUAACAGAAUAAAACUGCUUUUAUAAUAAGGAACAGGAGACUUGACUGGGCCAAUAGGAAGGCUAAUGUGGCUGUAGAUCCGGGAGUCAUGACUGAGUGAAUUAAGGAGAAAGGCCGUGAGCAGCUCAUGCUAGGAUUUGGAGAGUUUGGAUUAACACCAAAAGGCCCUGUAAAGUAAAGCUUGUGUUUCUUUGUUUGUAUUUUCUUUUAUAGUAUAGGGAGUUACAUUAUGUCUUUGUGUCUCUGUGUCUUUAAACAGUAGGGUUCUUGAAGAGACACUCUUCUUGUCUUGCAGAAAGCAUUCUUUACAUUGAACAUAUCCUCACAUGAUAGAGAGACCCCACACAUACAUGUAUGUACUUAAAGAAUACUUUACUGCUAGAAUGAAGAAUAGAUUAGAAAGAGACAUAUCAAAAAACAGAAUUGCCGGUGUGCUGGUGCAUACCUUUAAUCUAGCACUUUGGAGGCAGAGGCAGGCAGAUAUGAGUUCAAGGCCAGUCUGGUCUGCAGAGAGAGUCAGGGAUACACAAACCCUGUCUUGGAAAACAAGAACAAAAACAAAACAAAGAAAACAAAAAACAGAUGUUGAAAGAAUUAAUCCAGUUGAGAAAUGGUGGAAUUUUAGAAGUGAAGUUAGCAAGGUAGAUAAGAGCAGAAGAUAUUCAAAGUACAGUUUAUUUUGGAGGAAGAAGUUAUGGAUGGUUUGAGCACAGAACAACCGUAGAUGCGGGUGUGGUAGAAUACAUUGGAAAAGUCCCUGUAGGCUCAUAUAUUUGAAUGCUUUAGCUCCUAGGUGAUGGACCUGUUUGGAAAGGAUUAGAAGGUGCGUGGCCUUGCUAGAGUAGGUGUGUCACUGUGGGUGUGGGUGGAGAUCGGAAGUUUUAAAAAUCCACGCCAUAACCAGUUAGUUAGUUCUCUCUUUCUCUCUCUCUCUUCCUCUCCCCUCUCCCCUUCUCUCCCCUCCCCCCUCGCUCUGACUCCUGCUUGUAGAGUAGAUGUAAGUUCUCAGCCACUGUUCCGGCACCAUGCCUGCCUACUGCCGUGCUCCCACCAAGAUCAUGGGGCCAAUGGGCAGAAGACACCCGGAGGCCCACACAGGUGGCCAGGUGCCACUACUAUGGACAAGUAUGUGGUGGAAAGAUGGGAGAGAAGGAGAGGAAAAGCAAUUUGUGUACUGUGAGAGAGACAGAACAGGAGAUGCAAGGACUGUGAGGAACAGCAUGAUGGUGGAACUGGCCUUGAUGGUGAUGGAGCUGCCCCAUCUCCAGCUGUGGCACUCAGGAGAGCUGUCCCAACAUCUUACCUGGGCAUUGCAGGAGAGCUGGCCCUGAUGGCUUGGGCAUAGGAGAACUGCUGCAGGCAACACAGGGUAACAACAGGAUAUCCAAGAGGAGUCCUGGAGAGGAUACUGUAGCAGAAGCCAGAGACCUUGAACCAGACCAGUGACUCACUGUGAUGAACAUUUGCAAGUAAAGCUGUUUGAACAAAAGGGUGUAUGACACACCACGACACACCACAGCUUCCAACAGUGAGAUUUAAAAAAAAAUUCUUCAUUUCUUUCUUUCUUUCUUUUUUUUUUUUUUUGCUUUCUUAUGUGUGGAGUUUGCAAGGGCAGAGGGCAGAUAUUGAGGAAGUGAGAGAUGAGUGAGACUGGGGUGCACGAUGCAAAAUUCACAAAGAAUCAAUAAAAUGUUAAAAAUAAAAAGAGAUGGUCAUGGACUUAUUCUCUGAAACUUUGAGCCUCCAAUAAAUUAUUUCUUCUAUAAGUUCCUUUGGCCAUAGUAUCUUUUCAUAGUAAUAAAAAAGUAACUAAGACAGUGGGUGAGGAAAAAACUGAAUUUGACUUGGGUAUUUCUGGAUCAUGUGACUGAAUUUCCCUUACAUGUCAAUGCUUCAUUGAAUACUUAAUUUAGGGAGCUUGGAUCAGGGAAGGGGCAAAAGAUUUGUUUUGGAUAUAUUAGAUCCUAGGUGCCUAAGAUGCAGACAAAUGGAGAAGUCAGGUUAGCAGGAGGCUGGUGAGAUCGCUCAGCGGUUAAGAGCACUGACUC